rnacentral:rRNA from 1 species
AGUGAACGCUGGCGGUAGGCCUAACACAUGCAAGUCGAACGGCAGCACAGUAAAAGCUUGCUCUUACGGGUGGCGAGUGGCGGACGGGUGAGGAAUACAUCGGAAUCUACUUUUUCGUGGGGGAUAACGUAGGGAAACUUACGCUAAUACCGCAUACGACCUACGGGUGAAAGCAGGGGAUCUUCGGACCUUGCGCGAUUGAAUGAGCCGAUGUCGGAUUAGCUAGUUGGCGGGGUAAAGGCCCACCAAGGCGACGAUCCGUAGCUGGUCUGAGAGGAUGAUCAGCCACACUGGAACUGAGACACGGUCCAGACUCCUACGGGAGGCAGCAGUGGGGAAUAUUGGACAAUGGGCGCAAGCCUGAUCCAGCCAUACCGCGUGGGUGAAGAAGGCCUUCGGGUUGUAAAGCCCUUUUGUUGGGAAAGAAAAGCAGCGGGUUAAUACCCCGCUGUUCUGACGGUACCCAAAGAAUAAGCACCGGCUAACUUCGUG